rnacentral:rRNA from 1 species
AGAGUUUGAUCAUGGCUCAGAUUGAACGCUGGCGGCAGGCCUAACACAUGCAAGUCGAACGGUAACAGGAAACAGCUUGCUGUUUCGCUGACGAGUGGCGGACGGGUGAGUAAUGUCUGGGAAACUGCCUGAUGGAGGGGGAUAACUACUGGAAACGGUAGCUAAUACCGCAUAACGUCGCAAGACCAAAGAGGGGGACCUUCGGGCCUCUUGCCAUCAGAUGUGCCCAGAUGGGAUUAGCUAGUAGGUGGGGUAACGGCUCACCUAGGCGACGAUCCCUAGCUGGUCUGAGAGGAUGACCAGCCACACUGGAACUGAGACACGGUCCAGACUCCUACGGGAGGCAGCAGUGGGGAAUAUUGCACAAUGGGCGCAAGCCUGAUGCAGCCAUGCCGCGUGUAUGAAGAAGGCCUUCGGGUUGUAAAGUACUUUCAGCGGGGAGGAAGGGAGUAAAGUUAAUACCUUUGCUCAUUGACGUUACCCGCAGAAGAAGCACCGGCUAACUCCGUGCCAGCAGCCGCGGUAAUACGGAGGGUGCAAGCGUUAAUCGGAAUUACUGGGCGUAAAGCGCACGCAGGCGGUUUGUUAAGUCAGAUGUGAAAUCCCCGGGCUCAACCUGGGAACUGCAUCUGAUACUGGCAAGCUUGAGUCUCGUAGAGGGGGGUAGAAUUCCAGGUGUAGCGGUGAAAUGCGUAGAGAUCUGGAGGAAUACCGGUGGCGAAGGCGGCCCCCUGGACGAAGACUGACGCUCAGGUGCGAAAGCGUGGGGAGCAAACAGGAUUAGAUACCCUGGUAGUCCACGCCGUAAACGAUGUCGACUUGGAGGUUGUGCUCUUGAGGCGUGGCUUCCGGAGCUAACGCGUUAAGUCGACCGCCUGGGGAGUACGGCCGCAAGGUUAAAACUCAAAUGAAUUGACGGGGGCCCGCACAAGCGGCGGAGCAUGUGGUUUGAUUCGAUGCAACGCGAAGAACCUUACCUGGUCUUGACAUCCACGGAAGUUUUCAGAGAUGAGAAUGUGCCUUCGGGAACCGUGAGACAGGUGCUGCAUGGCUGUCGUCAGCUCGUGUUGUGAAAUGUUGGGUUAAGUCCCGCAGCGAGCGCAACCCUUAUCCUUUGUUGCCAGCGGUCCGGCCGGGAACUCAAAGGAGACUGCCAGUGAUAAACUGGAGGAAGGUGGGCAUGACGUCAAGUCAUCAUGGCCCUUACGACCAGGGCUACACACGUGCUACAAUGGCGCAUACAAAGAGAAGCGACCUCGCGAGAGCAAGCGGACCUCAUAAAGUGCGUCGUAGUCCGGAUUGGAGUCUGCAACUCGACUCCAUGAAGU